UAGUAAUUAGGAUAUCAACCACCUCUGUUUUCUUCCACCGUUUACAGAGAGAGAGAGAGAGAGAGAGAGAGAGAGAGAGAGAGAGAGCGCGCAAAGGAGCAGGCGGCAGCCAUUUUUCUCCUUUAAGGUCUGGUCCAGCCAUGGCCAUCACCGUUCAACAUCAAUAUCUUUUCGGAAGUCAAGGAAACUUAACCGGUAUCAAUUCAAUGGAGUAGUUUGCAUGCGUGAUGAGCUAGACGCUACUUUUUGGUUAAGGUAGAUAGCAAGUUGUGGGCUGAAUGGGGUGCUAGAAUAACCGUGGAGAAUUGUGUGUAGCCUAAUGGUUUGUAAUUAUUAUACUUGUACACUUAGAAGCUCUGGGAUUAUGUUAUUUAUUCUACGCUUCCGCAUACCUUGCUUAUAUGGUUUAAAAUGACAUUGAUGUGAGA